GUGCCAGCAGCCGCGGUAAUACGUAGGUGGCAAGCGUUAUCCGGAAUUAGUGGGCGUAAAGCGCGCGUAGGCGGUUUUUUAAGUCUGAUGUGAAAGCCCACGGCUCAACCGUGGAGGGUCAUUGGAAACUGGAAAACUUGAGUGCAGAAGAGGAAAGUGGAAUUCCAUGUGUAGCGGUGAAAUGCGCAGAGAUAUGGAGGAACACCAGUGGCGAAGGCGACUUUCUGGUCUGUAACUGACGCUGAUGUGCGAAAGCGUGGGGAUCAAACAGGAUUAGAUA
rnacentral:rRNA from 1 species